rnacentral:lncRNA from 1 species
CUCAAUCACGAAGAAAUUAGUAAGAGAAGGGGAUGAGAGUUUAGAUGGCCCUUCGUUUUUUACUUUGUUCCUAUAGAGUCAAGUUAACAACAAUUAGCAAAGAGAGCAGUAGAUUCCUGUACCAGAUUGCUUGCUUGCUUGUUGGUUGCCUCUACUGUUAACCACCCACGAUCGCUGAAAACAAAACGCUAACGAGCAUCACAACUCGGAAACGGAGAGCUGGGAGAAGAAGCAAAACGGAAGGGAGAAGCACCUGUUGCUUGCGCCUUCGUUUCUAGGAAAAAGACUCUUUCG